AGCAGCCGCGGUAAAUUCCAGCUCCAAUAGCGUAUAUUAAAGUUGUUGCAGUUAAAAAGCUCGUAGUUGAAUUUUAGGCCUGGCCGGGCGGUCCGUCUUUGGCGAGUACUGUCCUGUGUCGGGUCCACCUUCUGGUGAACCAGUAUGUCCUUUAUUGGGUGUGCCGGGGAGCCAGGACCAUUACCUUGAAAAAAUUAGAGUGUUUAAAGCAGGCAUUUGCUUGAAUAGAUUAGCAUGGAAUAAUAGAAUAGGACGUUGUGGUUCUAUUUUGUUGGUUUCUAGGACCACCGUAAUGAUUAAUAGGGAUAGUUGGGGGCAUUAGUAUUCAAUUGUCAGAGGUGAAAUUCUUGGAUUUAUUGAAGACUAACUAUUGCGAAAGCAUUUGCCAAGGAUGUUUUCA
rnacentral:rRNA from 1 species